AUGACCUGUAAGCACUACUCAGAUGCUGAUAAAGGAGGAUUCUCCAGAGAUAACCGCAAGACAAUAUCUGUUGCAGAUUCUAGUGGUCAGACUCUGACUGAAUCUGAGCCUGUAGUUCUUAAACCCGGAGACCCUCACAAACUGACCUGCACGUACUCUGGCUUUAGCAGUGAUCCUUGGAUGGCUUGGAUCAGGCAGGCUCCUGGGAAAGGGCUGGAGUGGCUAGCUCUAAUGCAACCCACCACAAGUAGUACUACAUACUACGCUCAGUCCAUUCAGGGAAGGUUCACAAUUUCCAGAGACAACAGCAAGAAGCAGAGUUACCUACAGAUGAACAGCCUGAAAACCGAAGACUCUGCUGUGUACUACUGUGCUCGAUACCACAGUGAGAGAUGA